ACCAAUUGUCUGGUCUUUCCUUCUAAAAUAGAUUUACAAUUUAGCUUUAUACCCUCUCAUCUCCCCUUCUUCCUAUUUAUUCAUCAUCUUCUUGAAGGUUCCAUAGCUUUUAUUAGUUUUUCUCUCUUCUUUUCCCUUGCACCUUUUGCUUUUUGAUUCUUCGUUAUUUUCUUGUUCUGUUUCAUAUAUGUAUUUUAAAAUUUGAGUUUUUGGUCAAAUCUGAUUAAUGGGUCUUUCAUGCUAAUCAUUGUUGUUGAGCAAUGAAUAUGGGUGUUGGUAUUUUGAGCUAAAAUUUGCUGGGUAUUACUAGUUUCCUGUUGUUUUCUUGGUUAUCUGUACAAUUUUCCUGCUCUGUUAGGACUUGGGUAGUUUCUUCUUAGAUUUUUACAUGCAUAUCAAUUAUUUGGUCUGAUGAGUACAAACUCAGAAUUUCUUCAUUUGCAGAUCGAUCACAACCAGUGGCGCUGGAAAAUGAAGAAAAAACAGUCAUGCAGAAGCCUCUUCCUUCUCUGUUGUAACUUUGGGCCAACCCACUAUUUCAAAUUUUGUUAAUUCAAGAUUCAAGUGAUAUGGCUAAGAAAGCUUCUACUCCGAUGAGGACUAGAGGCUCUUAUGCUUAGAAUCGUUCAAAAAAAAAAAAAAUUAACGAUCCUAGGCGUUCUGCUGAUUAUGUUGAUUCCAAGAGUAAACUACAAGAAAAAGUGAAAAAGGUUUCUCAAAUGGAGAAACAAAAGAAGAGAAGGUUUCAACUGUAACAAUGUUGCUAAUGUUAAGGGCAAAAAAAUUGCUAAAACCAAACAUAAUGCCGAUGAGGAUGAUGAUGGAGAGGUAUAUUUGUGUUGUAUUUUCAGUAUAUUUAGUUCGUUUGUAUUUUUUAGUUCAGUUAUUACAUAUCAGUGACUUAACCAGAUCUGUAUUUUAUGUGCAUUUUAAGUAUAUUUUGUAUUGUUAUUUUUUUCACAUGUUUCUUCAGUUAGUUCGUGUUUAUUGUUCUUCACCAUAACUGUAAUUUUUAAUUUUUUUAAGUA